rnacentral:rRNA from 1 species
AAAUUGAAGAGUUUGAUCAUGGCUCAGAUUGAAUGCUGGCGGCAGGCCUAACACAUGCAAGUCGAACGGUAACAGGAAACAGCUUGCUGUUUCGCUGACGAGUGGCGGACGGGUGAGUAAUGUCUGGGAAACUGCCUGAUGGAGGGGGAUAACUACUGGAAACGGUAGCUAAUACCGCAUAACGUCGCAAGACCAAAGAGGGGGACCUUCGGGCCUCUUGCCAUCGGAUGUGCCCAGAUGGGAUUAGCUUGUUGGUGGGGUAACGGCUCACC